rnacentral:lncRNA from 1 species
CAGGGUGCAGUCUCUGGGGUUGGCCGUCAUCACCCCUUAAAUGCCCUGUUGCUGGUCCUGCCUACUCCUCUUUGCCCCAUUCACAUCAGUGCCCACAUUUUCCUGUCUCCCAUAGUGUUCUGAUGUGGCCCCUCUGUCACAUCAGUGUCCCCCCAGGUCUGCUCUUCACUUUCCCCCUGUCCUACAUUUCCUCCUCCUCCUGUUCCCUCCCCUAUAAAACAUGGGGGGACAAGGCCCCAGAGCUUCGAGGUCUAGGGAAGCAGCAGAGACUAAUAUAACAGACAAAUUCUAAGGUGUUGCAUUAGUUUCUCAGGGCUGCCGUAACAUGUUACCAGACUCUCAGUCUUCAACAGAAAUGUGACUCUCACAAUGUGGAAGGCAGCAGUCCGACACAGAGAGGUUGGCAGGGGCUGAGACUCCGAAGGUUCAAGGGAAGGAUUUUUUCUUGCCUAUUCCAGCUUCUGCUGGCUCCAGGCACUCCCUGGGUUGUGCUUGCAUCCCUCCAAUCUCUGCCUCCAGCUUCACAAGACCUUCACUCUGUGCAUGUAUUUUCCUCUUUUCUCACUUACAAGAGCACUUGUCAGACAUUUUUCGCAGGUUUUGGGGAGAGGAUGUGGACGUCUUUUGAGAGGAGCUGUGAUUCAAUCCACUACAAGGUUAAAGGGAUAAUAGCCCAGCUUUUCAAAAGCAUUUUGCUCUGCAAUCAAAUCAAAUAUUCUUAAACGGACGGGGCCAAGUCAACCCAGUCCAGGCAAAGAGACUCCCAAAAGAUUGCCAAAAGCCUGGUGCCAGUUCUGACAGAUGGACAAAGGUAAGCUGUGUUUACUGUCCUCCUCAACUGUGUUCUUCUCUCAAAGCCAUCCUUGUGCUGAGAUGUUAAAAACAAAACACCCCUCACCAUGCCCUGGUUUCUGUGUAAACUGGCUCAAUGAAGGUGUUUUCUACAGGGGUCUGCAAUACACUACUCAGGGACAACUGGGCAAUUGAGCCAGGUACAGCCAGGUACCUGGCUCACCGAGUUUUUCCGUGGUAGUUCCACGGAAAAGCCAAGCUGGCUCUGGCCUUCUUGUUUUACAGACUUGGGUUUUGUUUGAAGCCGUCUCUAUAAAUGGACCGUAGAACCUGCUACUCUGUGCUUCAUUCCUUUCUUUGUUUUCUUCUAUUAAUGACAGCCCUGGGACCAAGAAGACCCAAAUGCUCUUGGUGGCCCUGCUUGGCCAGCACACACUGUCCUCCCACCACCUGCCCACGGAGGGGAUCCCCGUUGUUUUGCUUCC